rnacentral:misc_RNA from 1 species
GUGAAUCAUCGAAUUUUUGAACGCAAAUUGCACUCUCUUCGAUGAGUAUGCGUAUUUGUGUGUGAGCGUAAAAAAAAUCGAAAUCGUUGCUGGUUCGUGGUUGCGGUGGUGGGAAAUUGGGUUAUGGUAAAUCUUUUGUUUUUAAGCGACUUAAAAUACUUUACGAUUUCUUGACGGUUUCUAAGAUUAUUUCUUUAGUCGUUUU